rnacentral:lncRNA from 1 species
ACUCAAUUAUAAAUCCUACAAGUACAGAUGCAACAUAUAAUGAUGCUUUGACUCCAAAUAUACUUGAUAAGGUUGCAAUUCAACUUGGUACUGAAUGGCUUAGGUUUGGACGUCAUCUUAAUUUGAAAGAUGCUGAUUUAGAUCACAUUAUUGUUGAUUAUAAAAAAACUUAUGACAAGGCCUUUCAGCUUUUAAAACUAUGGAAACAGAAGUCAAAGGAAGGUUGUCUAACCUGGUCCAAAUUAAAAUAUGAACUCCAGCAGUUUAAUCGUAUUGACAUAAUAAGAGAAUUACAAACAGAAUUUAAACAUUUAAAAGAUAAUAAAUAUCUUUUGUCAAUAAACGAUGGACAAGAGUCAAUAACACCUAGUGUUGUCAGAGAAAAUGAGAAUCCUCUCUCAGAAGAAAAUAAAGACAAAUUGUCAAUACCAGAAUCAAUUGUGCAUAAUGAUGUGAGAGAUACGGAUGAAUUGAAUAUCCAAAGUAUUAUAUCUAAGUUAAAAAAAGUAUCUAAUACUAGGG